AAAGGGAGCAAUCCUAAGUAAAGUGGCGCACGGGUGAGUAACACGUGGAUCAUCUACCUUUUAGUGGGGAAUACCUCUGGGAAACCGGAGACAAUACCGCAUAAGCCUGUAAAGGGAAAGCAGCAAUGCGCUGAAAGAGGAGUCCGCGGCCGAUUAGCUAGUUGGCGGGGUAAUGGCCCACCAAGGCGAAGAUCGGUAGCCGGCCUGAGAGGGCACACGGCCACACUGGCACUGAAACACGGGCCAGACUCCUACGGGAGGCAGCAGUGGGGAAUCUUGCACAAUGGACGAAAGUCUGAUGCAGCGACGCCGCGUGAGCGAUGAAGCCCUUCGGGGUGUAAAGCUCUUUCGACGGGAACGAUAAUGACGGUACCCGGAGAAGAAGCUGCGGCUAACUACGUGCCAGCAGCCGCGGUAAUACGUAGGCAGCGAGCGUUGUUCGGAAUUACUGGGCGUAAAGAGUGUGUAGGCGGUGUUCCCAGUCUGUUGUGAAAUCUCCCGGCUUAACUGGGAGGGUGCAGCGGAAACUAGAAUGCUAGAGGGUGGGAGAGGUAAGCGGAAUUCCUGGUGUAGCGGUGAAAUGCGUAGAUAUCAGGAGGAACACCUGUGGUGUAGACAGCUUACUGGACCGCUUCUGACGCUGAGACACGAAAGCGUGGGUAGCAAACAGGAUUAGAUACCCUGGUAGUCCACGCCCUAAACGAUGCAUACUUGGUGUGAGCGAUUCAUUUCGUUCGUGCCGGAGCUAACGCGUUAAGUAUGCCGCCUGGGGAGUACGGUCGCAAGGCUGAAACUC
rnacentral:rRNA from 1 species